rnacentral:rRNA from 1 species
ACGGAAGGCAGCAGUGGGGAAUAUUGGUCAAUGGACGAGAGUCUGAACCAGCCAAGUCGCGUGAAGGAAGACGGUUCUAUGGAUUGUAAACUUCUUUUGUCCAAGGGUAAAGUGAGUCACGUGUGAUUUAUUGCAAGUAUUGGACGAAUAAGCGUCGGCUAACUCCGUGCCAGCAGCCGCGGUAAUACGGAGGAUGCGAGCGUUAUCCGGAUUUAUUGGGUUUAAAGGGUGCGUAGGCGGGCGAUUAAGUCAGCGGUGAAAUUGUGUAGCUUAACUAUACCGAGCCGUUGAAACUGGUUGUCUUGAGUGUAAACGAGGUAGGCGGAAUGUGACGUGUAGCGGUGAAAUGCUUAGAUAUGUCACAGAACCCCGAUUGCGAAGGCAGCUUACCAGGAUACGACUGACGCUGAGGCACGAAAGCGUGGGUAUCAAACAGGAUUAGAUACCCUGGUA